AAAUAAUGAAGUAAAACAUUUACAUUUAGUUUCGACCUAAAAUUAAGGAAUACCUCUUAUUUG
rnacentral:tRNA from 1 species